ensembl:lncRNA
AUGUUCAUCACCUUUGAGUACUUCCUUGUGAAGACGGGGAGCAGCAGUGAAGCGUUUGAAGACACCUUUGAGUACUUCCUAGUGAAGACGGAGAGCGGCAGCAGCAGUGAAAUGUUCGAGAAUGUGUUUGAGUACUUCCUAGUGAAGACGGAGAGCAGCAGCAGCAGUGAAGUGUUCGAGGAUGUGUUUGAGUACUUCCUAGUGAAGACAGAGAGCAGUAGCAGUGAAGUGUUCGAAUACACCUUUGAGUACUUCCUUGUGAAGACGGAGAGCAGCAGUGAAGCGUUUGAAGACACCUUUGAGUACUUCCUAGUGAAGACGGAGAGCGGCAGCAGCAGUGAAAUGUUCGAGGAUGUGUUUGAGUACUUCCUAGUGAAGACGGAGAGCAGCAGCAGCAGUGAAGUGUUCGAGGAUGUGUUUGAGUACUUCCUAGUGAAGACAGAGAGCAGUAGCAGUGAAGUGUUCGAAUACACCUUUGAGUACUUCCUUGUGAAGACGGAGAGCAGCAGCAGCAGCAGUGAAGUGUUCGAGGAUGUGUUCGAGUACUUCCCAGUGAAGACGGAGAGCAGCAGCAGUGAAGUGUUCGAGGAUAUGUUCGAGUACUUCCUAGUGAAGACAGAGAGCAGCAGUAGCAGUGAAGUGUUCAAGGAUAUGUUUGAGUACUUCCUAGUGAAGACGGAGAGCAGCAGCCGCAGUGAAGUGUUCGAGGAUGUGUUCGAGUACUUCCUAGUGAAGACGGAGAGCAGCAGCAGCAGCAGUGAAGUGUUUGAGGAUGUGUUCAAGUACUUAGCAGUGAAGACGGAGAGCAGCAGCAGCAGCAGGGAAGUGUUUGAGGAUGUGUUCGAGUACUUCCUAGUCAAGACGGAAAGCAGCAGCAGCAGUGAAGUGUUCGAGGAUGUGUUCGAGUACUUCCUAGUGAAGACGGAGAGCAGCAGCAGCAUCAGUGAAGUGUUUGAGGAUGUGUUCGAGUACUUCCUAGUGAAGACGGAGAGCAGCAGCAGUGAAGUGUUUGAGGAUGUGUUCGAGUACUUCCUAGUGAAGACGGAGAGCAGCAGCCGCAGUGAAGUGUUCGAGGAUGUGUUCGAGUACUUCCUAGUGAAGACGGAGAGCAGCAGCAGCAGUGAAGUGUUCGAGGAUGUGUUCGAGUACUUCCUAGUGAAGACGGAGAGCAGCAGCAGCAGCAGUGAAGUGUUUGAGGAUGUGUUCGAGUACUUCCCAGUGAAGACGGAGAGCAGCAGCAGCAGCAGUGAAGUGUUUGAGGAUGUGUUCGAGUACUUCCCAGUGAAGACGGAGAGCAGCAGCAGCAGCAGUGAAGUGUUUGAGGAUGUGUUCGAGUACUUCCUAGUGAAGACGGAGAGCAGCAGCCGCAGUGAAGUGUUCGAGGAUGUGUUCGAGUACUUCCUAGUGAAGACGGAGAGCAGCAGCAGCAGCAGUGAAGUGUUCGAGGAUGUGUUCGAGUACUUCCCAGUGAAGACGGAGAGCAGCAGCAGCAGCAGUGAAGUGUUUGAGGAUGUGCUCGAGUACUUCCCAGUGAAGACAGAGAGCAGCAGCAGCAGCAGCAGUGAAGUGUUCGAUGAUGUGUUCGAGUUCUUCCCAGGAUUGCCAAAACAGUAA